GCUUUCUUGGUGUAAUGGUAGCACACUCGGCACGUAUUCGAGAGUUCCAGGUUCGAGUCCCGUUGAAGGCA
rnacentral:tRNA from 1 species